UACAGAGACUGCAAGCGUUAUUCGGAUUCACUGGGCGUAAAGGGUGCGCAGGCGGCCGUGUGUGUGAGGCGUGAAAGCCCGGGGCUUAACCCCGGAAUUGCACCUCAAACUACAUGGCUAGAGCAUUGGAGAGGGUAGCAGAAUUCAUGGUGUAGCAGUGAAAUGCGUAGAUAUUGGGAAGAACACCAGUGGCGAAGGCGGCUCACUGGCCCGUAACUGACGCUGAGGUGCGAAAGCGUGGGGAGCAAACAGG
rnacentral:rRNA from 1 species